rnacentral:sRNA from 1 species
UUUCUGCUACCUCUUACCCAUGUCUUUUGAGUACCUUCGUUUCCUCGGCGGGUCCGCCCGCCGAUUGGACAACAUUCAAACCCUUUGCAGUUGCAAUCAGCGUCUGAAAAAACAUAAUAGUUACAACUUUCAACAACGGAUCUCUUGGUUCUGGCAUCGAUGAAGAACGCAGCGAAAUGCGAUAAGUAGUGUGAAUUGCAGAAUUCAGUGAAUCAUCGAAUCUUUGAACGCACAUUGCGCCCCUUGGUAUUCCAUGGGGCAUGCCUGUUCGAGCGUCAUUUGUACCUUCAAGCUCUGCUUGGUGUUGGGUGUUUGUCUCUCCUCUGCGUGUAGACUCGCCUUAAAACAAUUGGCAGCCGGCGUAUUGAUUUCGGAGCGCAGUACAUCUCGCGCUUUGCACUCAUAACGACGACGUCCAAAAGUACAUUUUUACACUC